GGUUACGAGUGUGCGAUGUUUCAACUGGCUGACAAACUCACUCUGGCUCCAGCUUAUAGCUGAGCGUGAGCAGCUCUAGUAUUCCUGAGGCCUGGGUGACACUAAAAUUCUCUCCUUGAUCUAGAUUCACGUCUUAGAACACACCUAAAGCCAGAGAGAAGAAUGGCUUGUUUUAGUGAUAAAUGGAGGGAAAGAUGCUGCAGUUUCAGUUCAAGCUGUCCUGUGUGCACUGUUUUUAAUAUAUACACGGUUCUCUUACUCACCUGAGCACGUCAGCUGUGACUAUCCAGUUAUCUGUAACUCCAAAUUAUAUAUUUUGUGCCAUUUUCACAAAUAGAACACUAGUUGCCCUGGCAAAUUGUGGUGGAAAGUAGGAAUUUUGAUAGAGAUUUUGGAUGCAACACAGAAUCCUAAUGUAUAAAAAUGGAAAUAUUUAAUGUGCAGCAAAACAGAGUACUUGUG